CAGGAAACGUUGCAGUCUGAAAAAAAAUAUUAAAUAAACUAAAACUUUCAACAACGGAUCUCUUGGUUCUGGCAUCGAUGAAGAACGCAGCGAAAUGCGAUAAGUAAUGUGAAUUGCAGAAUUCAGUGAAUCAUCGAAUCUUUGAACGCACAUUGCGCCCCUUGGUAUUCCGGGGGGCAUGCCUGUUCGAGCGUCAUUUCAACCCUCAAGCUCUGCUUGGUAUUGGGCACCGUCCUUUGCGGGCGCGCCUCAAAGACCUCGGCGGUGGCGUCUUGCCUCAAGCGUAGUAGAAUACACCUCGCUUCGGAGCGUAAGGCGUCGCCCGCCGGACGAACCUUCUGAACUUUUCUCAAGGUUGACCUCGGAUCAGGUAGGGAUACCCGCUGAACUUAAGCAUAUCAAUAAGCGGAGGA
rnacentral:rRNA from 1 species